CUUGUCAUAUAUAAUUCUUUACAUUGUCAGUAGAUAUUCUCCUGUAGUUCAACAGAACAUUGUUCAAAAAUCAGCAUAAAUUGGCUCAGCUACAAUGCUGUUGAAAAAAUAAGGCUCAAUAAUUUAGUGUCCAAUCAGGACACACCAAGCAUUGAGGUUCCACAUAGGCUUGUUGUCCUCUUCUCUCAACUAGUGUAUCUUUCCUGGGACCAGUAAUGUACAUUAUGAAUGUUCAUUUCCCCAUUAGUUUUGAAUCACUUCACAUAAUUUAACAUUGGAAUGCAUUGGUUUUUGCCAGAAACCAAUUGCAGAAAUCAGCAUGGAUCUCAAAAUCAUUGUUUUCAAGUUGUUGAUGUUGAUAGAUGUAAUACAGAUUGAAGCUGCUAUCCUGUAUAAUUCUCCACACUGUCAUGUGACUUAUGCAGAACUCGGAUGUAAUAUUUCUGAUUAGAAUCAUGGAGAUUCAAAGCAAAACUAAGGACAUCAAUUACAUGUGCAUUUCUCACUGGUUUCUUAAUCUGUUAAUUACAAUUAUGUGUUAGCUGAAUCCAAACAGUUUCAAGCACAAGUCACCAGACACUAAAAAAUAUAUCAAGAGUAAUGAGUGCAUUAUACAGUAGAUUCGUUUCAGCAUAUGGGUAUGCAGCAGCUCUAAAAUUUUUGUGGCAUUCUCCCAAUACCAUAAGCAUAUCAAAAACAUCCUUAUUAGAGAAUAGCAUGAUUACUGAAACAGUCAAAGGACAGAUCCAAAACAAUUAUACAAACACAUCCCACUUACAGCAAAUAUCACUUGUACAGCAGAG
rnacentral:lncRNA from 1 species